rnacentral:rRNA from 1 species
UGCCAGCAGCCGCGGUAAUACAGAGGUCCCAAGCGUUGUUCGGAUUCACUGGGCGUAAAGGGUGCGUAGGUGGCGAGGUAAGUUGAAUGUUAAAUCUUGGGGCUCAACCCCAAAACUGCAUUCAAUACUGCUUUGCUAGAGGAUUGUAGAGGAGACUGGAAUUCACGGUGUAGCAGUGAAAUGCGUAGAUAUCGUGAGGAAGGCCAGUGGCGAAAGCGAGUCUCUGGGCAAUUCCUGACACUGAGGCACGAAGGCCAGGGGAGCAAACGGGAUUAGAUACCCCGGUAGUCCUGGCAGUAAACGGUGCACGUUUGGUGUGGGAGGAUUCGACCCCUUCCGUGCCGUAGUUAACACGAUAAACGUGCCGCCUGAGGAGUACGGUCGCAAGAUUAAAACUCAAAGGAAUUGACGGGGGCCCGCACAAG